GACGAACGCUGGCGGCGUGCUUAACACAUGCAAGUCGAACGGAAAGGCCCUGCUUGCAGGGUACUCGAGUGGCGAACGGGUGAGUAACUCGUGGGUGAUCUGCACUGCCCAUCGGGAUAAGCCUGGGAAACUGGGUCUAAUACCGGAUAGGAGCAGUAAUUCGCGUGAUGGUUGGCAAGCUUUUUCGGUGGAGGAUGGGGUGGCGGCCUCUCAGCUUGUUGGUGGGGAAUGGGCGUACCGAGGCGGCGAAGGGUAGCCGGCCUGUGAGGGUGGACGGCCAGAUUGAGUGGGAGUGACAGCCCAGACUCCUACGGGAGGCAGCAGGGGGUAAUAUUGCACAAUGGGCGCAAGCCUGAUGCAGCGACGCCGCGUGGGGGAUGACGGCCGUCGGGUUGUAAGCUCCUUUCGCUAGGGACGAAGCUUUUUGUGACGGUACCUAGAUAAGAAGCACCGGCUAACUACGUG
rnacentral:rRNA from 1 species